rnacentral:rRNA from 1 species
AGCGAACGUUUGCGGCGGGCCUAACACAUGCAAGUCGAACGGGCUAGCAAUAGUCAGUGGCGCACGGGUGCGUAACACGUGGGUAAUCAACCCGUUCAGCUCGGGAUAAACGGCCUUGAAAGGGGCGCUAAUACCGGAUGCGACGCGAGGAGCCUCGGCGCUUCGCGGGAAAGNUUCGCAAGGAUCACUGAAGGACCGAGCCCUGCGGCCCAUCAGCUAGUUGGUGAGGUAAGAGCUCACCAAGGCGAAGACGGGUAGCUGGUCUGAGAGGAUGAUCAGCCACACUGGAACUGAGACACGGUCCA